AACGAACGCUGGCGGCAUGCCUAACACAUGCAAGUCGAACGCCCCGCAAGGGGAGUGGCGAACGGGUGAGUAACGCGUGGGAACCUACCCAGCAGUUGGGGAUAACCGCGGGAAACUGCGGCUAAUACCGAAUACGUCCUAUGGGAGAAAGAUUUAUCGCUGUUGGAGGGGCCCGCGUCGGAUUAGCUGGUUGGUGAGGUAACGGCUCACCAAGGCUUCGAUACGUAGCUGGUCUGAGAGGAUGAUCAGCAAAACUGGGACUUAGACACGGCCCAGACUCCUACGGGAGGCAGCAGUGGGGAAUAUUGGACAAUGGGGGCAACCCUGAUCCAGCAAUGCCGCGUGAGUGAUGAAGGCCUUAGGGUUGUAAAGCUCUUUUGCCGGGGACGAUGAUGACGGUACCCGGAGAAUAAGCCCCGGCUAACUUCGUGCCAGCCGCCGCCGUAA
rnacentral:rRNA from 1 species